AUGCCGGAGAAGCCUCCGCCGCUCGGGCGCCGUCCGACGGCCGCGGCGAGCUGGGUCCGGUCCCUCCACUGCAAGUCCAUGGCGGCUGACGACGUCGCGGCACUGCCAAAGAAGUCGCACCUCCUGCUCCGGUCGAGCUGCGCCAGCUCCGGCGACGCCCAAAGGGACGUCUCCUCGUGCAAGCCCAAGCUCAAGUCGAGCUCGAAGACUAGUUCGGCGACCAAGAAGCCCAAGGCGGCGAAGCCGACGUCCGUGCCGCCGUCGCCUCCUCCCGGCCCGCUCGGCCCGCUGCCGGCGCUGACGGAGCUCCCGGCGGGGCACUCCUCGCGGCAGGUGGUCGAGAUCAUCUUUCUCUCGUCGUGGUCUCCUCUCCCGCCGGCGCCGGCCGGCGCUGCGGGCGGCGCGUUCGCGGGGGAGGUGGAGAUGCUGUUCCGCGUCCACAACCAGGCGCGCGCCGUGGCGCGCUUCGAGGACUACCGCGCCGCCGUGCGCGCGCGGGCCGGCGGCGCCUCCCGCAGCGCCGCCGACGGCAACGAGAUGAUGCGCUUCUCCCCGGCCCCGCCGCACGGGUGCUCCUCCUCCUCGGACAGCGCGUCCCUGCGCGUCGUCCGGACCUUCGACGGCAGCGGCGGCGCGCACGCCAGCGGGCGCGGGCCGGAGACCGGCCGGCGGGCCAUGUUCCUGUGCAGGGUGAUCGCCGGGCGGGUGGCGGAGGGGCCAUGCUCCGAGGCCGCCGCCAAGGAGUACGACUCCGUCCGCGGCGGCAAGGGCGAGCUGGUGGUGUUCGACCGGCGGGCCGUGCUCCCAUGCUUCCUCAUCAUCUACAAGCUGUAA
rnacentral:rRNA from 1 species